ACUAAACACCUUUUUUUUCAAACCAACCUCAGUUAAAAGUACUUUUUAUAAAACAACUUUUUUUAAAUCACAACCACAACAGCUACCGCAAUACCAAAUACUCUCUAAAUGAAAUAAU